GAUGAACGCUGGCGGCGUGCCUAAUACAUGCAAGUCGAGCGAACGGACGAGAAGCUUGCUUCUCUGAUGUUAGCGGCGGACGGGUGAGUAACACGUGGAUAACCUACCUAUAAGACUGGGAUAACUUCGGGAAACCGGGGCUAAUACCGGAUGAUAUUUUGAACCGCAUGGUUCAACAGUGAAAGACGGUCUUGCUGUCACUUAUAGAUGGAUCCGCGCUGCAUUAGCUAGUUGGUAAGGUAACGGCUUACCAAGGCAACGAUGCGUAGCCGACCUGAGAGGGUGAUCGGCCACACUGGAACUGAGACACGGUCCAGACUCCUACGGGAGGCAGCAGUAGGGAAUCUUCCGCAAUGGGCGAAAGCCUGACGGAGCAACGCCGCGUGAGUGAUGAAGGUCUUCGGAUCGUAAAACUCUGUUAUUAGGGAAGAACAUAUGUGUAAGUAACUGUGCACAUCUUGACGGUACCUAAUCAGAAAGCCACGGCUAACUACGUG
rnacentral:rRNA from 1 species